UGGUAAAACAGGUAAUAAUACUAAAUUAUUAUCAUGUACGCAAGCAAAUAAGCAUAUUUAUGAUGCUUAAGGUGUGAAAUACUGUCAUAAUCAGGUUUGUGGUCACUCAAACCCUUGCCGCCUUGCAAUUCCCCGUGCAGUUUGUAUGGAUAGUUCCGCGUCCUGACACGUAAAGCUCGCGCUUUGUUGGCAGCAGAAGUUGGCACUUAACAGGUUUAUCCUUGUUCCUAAGCAUGUAUGCAGUGCAUCUGAGUUGAUAUGCUACUUGUAACCCUACAAUCAGCUUGUGUUUGGUAUUGUUUUCUCACAAUAUGCUUACAGUCAUGGUCCCGGCUUGAAAGGAUGUGGCGUCCGACUUAAACAUAGGAUUGUUGUAGCAAGUGUCCCCUUCAUCAUUUACCUUAGAGGGAUCUUUUUGCCAAAAUGUGGCACUUUCAGCAACCAGUUUAGUUUUUCAUUUGGUACAUGCUUCUCUCAUUCAGUGAUUUAUGGGAAGUAUUGACCUUAUUUGCUUGUCUUUGCAUACAAAGGUGACAUGGAUCAAUGAUAUGUGUUGUGUUGAGAAUUCUGCGGGAAGCUGUGUCCCCAGAAGAUGUACUAGAAACCUCUUUCAGGAAGCCUGCAUUGAUCUGAGCUGCCUUUCUGCCCCUGUUACUUCAUAGAACUUCAUUUCUAAGCUUAUAAUGCUCUCCAACAUAUAUGUAUCUUGUUCAUUUUAACCUUUCCUUCUAGUUUAAACCCCCAAAAUGAGCAUUUUUGUCUUUCGCUCAGUUAUUAACGCCCAUUUUGACCAGAUUGCCACCAUAAAAAUAGUCAAAAGUACUUGUUUUGCGCCCAAAAUAUGAAAUUUUGUAUUCUCUUGAACCUCUGAAUGACAGCUGGCAGAGCAUAUUGACCAUCUGCUGCAGUUUAAAGGCACCCAUGGCAUUAUAUGCUAGAAUAUACCAUUUGCGACUGGUAAAUAAAUGGGCUCCGAGCAACAAGGCGCUUUCAAGAUUUCACACUUUUAUAAGUGUGAAACAACAAGUUAUAGGAAGCUUAUUGAUUUCUACACUUCAAAGUAUCUUUGAUCUCUCAUUUUUGCUUAUUUGUUGUUUGUCUUGGAUGAAAUUGGAUAUUUUUGCUGGGAAAUUGACAUUUUUGGGGGUAUUUAAAAAAAAACACACACAAAAAAGACAUUAUCAAAAUUGCUUAGAGUGAAAAUAUCUGACAAGUUCAUUCUUUCCCCACCCCGCAUAAGCCCCACGUGCCUGUCCAUAUGGUUUGUUUUGGUAUUUUGUUGCAGAUAUUGAACACAACAGCUUUAACUCUUAAAGGGACAUUUAAGCUUUAACAGCCCUUAAAUCGCCUUCUUCGGACCGAAAACACCCGCAUGUGAAAAUGUGAUCUAAAAUGGCCAAAUGGACAGAUAAUCCAGCCAAACUUAAUAUAUUGGUGCAAUAUGAAUAGGAAGAUAAUAAUAUGCAAGAAAAACACAUUUCAUGCAGAACAUAUUUUUCCUUUAGGUUACAAUAUACUAAAUCUUUUUGGAGUGCAAUGCUAUACUCUUUAAAAACCUGAACAUCAUUUAUAAGAAGACACAAUUCUCUGUGUGGGCACUUGCCAUGACUUUAUUUUAGAAUGUUUCUUUGUGCAUGUGGUAGGGAAAACAUUGAUGUUUAACAGAAAUUCACUCAUUUGCUUGAAGGUUAAAGACUACAUGAGACUUUGACAGAUGGCGGGAAACCCACAUCCACUGGUACGAACCCGGUAAAUUGAUGGCUGUAAAACAGUGACCGCUGAUUCGCAUCGAGUUCUUUCUUGCAAAACGCAUGACCCCCCUUUUUUAUUGUCUAAAUCAUUGCGACUUGGAAUGCUCUUUAAGAAAAGGUAUGGUUAUGGGGGUCUCUAUGCGCAAAAGUUUGACUUUAUUUUUUGUUGAAGUUAUUGCUUUUACAUUGAAUUUGUGUAGGAAAUCUUUUGGUAUAUUGUAACCUAAACUAGCUUUAGGUAAAAAUGAAAUAUCAUCUGCAAGUGCAAAAUAUGACUGGGAAAGCUGAUUUUUGGUCAUUUCUUAACAAAAGAGAAGAAAAUAAGUGCCUUAAAUGCAUGAAUUCAGAUAAUUUGACCUGGAAUAGUUGUUUUUCAAGUUGACCCCCCACCCUGAUAUAGCCAAAUAAGGGCUAAAUUGCUUUCCGACUUGAAUUCAAAGGCAUAUUGUUUGACCGUGUAGCGUUAGUGUGCUACAUGAAGUCAGAAUUCAACGCCAGGAACUCCGUGAUCCAGUAACGCAACAAUAGCUAGUGCAUAAAGCAUGAACAUUCAAACAGAGCCCCAUUUCACCGACAUGGAAUGGCGGACAUUUUUACAGUUUGGACAGUGCAGCAGACACUUAAUUGAGGCAGCCUUCAUAUUUAGUGCAAUCAUGAACAUAACAAGGUUUAUUACUUCAUAUUAUUCAUAAAAAUACACUAAAAAUACUUAAGUGCAUGUUUUUUGCCAUUUUAUAUCUAUUUUUUAUUGGGAAUUUUGACUUUUUCAGGUAGAGGAAUGUCUGCAACUAAGCCGAGGGCCACUGGAUAAGGGUUGUUGAUGGUAAAACAGGUAGAGGAAUGUCUGCAACUAAGCCGAGGGCCACUGGAUAAGGGUUGUUGAUGGUAAAACAGGUAAUAAUACUAAAUUAUUAUCAUGUACGCAAGCAAAUAAGCAUAUUUAUGAUGCUUAAGGUGUGAAAUACUGUCAUAAUCAGGUUUGUGGUCACUCAAACCCUUGCCGCCUUGCAAUUCCCCGUGCAGUUUGUAUGGAUAGUUCCGCGUCCUGACACGUAAAGCUCGCGCUUUGUUGGCAGCAGAAGUUGGCACUUAACAGGUUUAUCCUUGUUCCUAAGCAUGUAUGCAGUGCAUCUGAGUUGAUAUGCUACUUGUAACCCUACAAUCAGCUUGUGUUUGGUAUUGUUUUCUCACAAUAUGCUUACAGUCAUGGUCCCGGCUUGAAAGGAUGUGGCGUCCGACUUAAACAUAGGAUUGUUGUAGCAAGUGUCCCCUUCAUCAUUUACCUUAGAGGGAUCUUUUUGCCAAAAUGUGGCACUUUCAGCAACCAGUUUAGUUUUUCAUUUGGUACAUGCUUCUCUCAUUCAGUGAUUUAUGGGAAGUAUUGACCUUAUUUGCUUGUCUUUGCAUACAAAGGUGACAUGGAUCAAUGAUAUGUGUUGUGUUGAGAAUUCUGCGGGAAGCUGUGUCCCCAGAAGAUGUACUAGAAACCUCUUUCAGGAAGCCUGCAUUGAUCUGAGCUGCCUUUCUGCCCCUGUUACUUCAUAGAACUUCAUUUCUAAGCUUAUAAUGCUCUCCAACAUAUAUGUAUCUUGUUCAUUUUAACCUUUCCUUCUAGUUUAAACCCCCAAAAUGAGCAUUUUUGUCUUUCGCUCAGUUAUUAACGCCCAUUUUGACCAGAUUGCCACCAUAAAAAUAGUCAAAAGUACUUGUUUUGCGCCCAAAAUAUGAAAUUUUGUAUUCUCUUGAACCUCUGAAUGACAGCUGGCAGAGCAUAUUGACCAUCUGCUGCAGUUUAAAGGCACCCAUGGCAUUAUAUGCUAGAAUAUACCAUUUGCGACUGGUAAAUAAAUGGGCUCCGAGCAACAAGGCGCUUUCAAGAUUUCACACUUUUAUAAGUGUGAAACAACAAGUUAUAGGAAGCUUAUUGAUUUCUACACUUCAAAGUAUCUUUGAUCUCUCAUUUUUGCUUAUUUGUUGUUUGUCUUGGAUGAAAUUGGAUAUUUUUGCUGGGAAAUUGACAUUUUUGGGGGUAUUUAAAAAAAAACACACACAAAAAAGACAUUAUCAAAAUUGCUUAGAGUGAAAAUAUCUGACAAGUUCAUUCUUUCCCCACCCCGCAUAAGCCCCACGUGCCUGUCCAUAUGGUUUGUUUUGGUAUUUUGUUGCAGAUAUUGAACACAACAGCUUUAACUCUUAAAGGGACAUUUAAGCUUUAACAGCCCUUAAAUCGCCUUCUUCGGACCGAAAACACCCGCAUGUGAAAAUGUGAUCUAAAAUGGCCAAAUGGACAGAUAAUCCAGCCAAACUUAAUAUAUUGGUGCAAUAUGAAUAGGAAGAUAAUAAUAUGCAAGAAAAACACAUUUCAUGCAGAACAUAUUUUUCCUUUAGGUUACAAUAUACUAAAUCUUUUUGGAGUGCAAUGCUAUACUCUUUAAAAACCUGAACAUCAUUUAUAAGAAGACACAAUUCUCUGUGUGGGCACUUGCCAUGACUUUAUUUUAGAAUGUUUCUUUGUGCAUGUGGUAGGGAAAACAUUGAUGUUUAACAGAAAUUCACUCAUUUGCUUGAAGGUUAAAGACUACAUGAGACUUUGACAGAUGGCGGGAAACCCACAUCCACUGGUACGAACCCGGUAAAUUGAUGGCUGUAAAACAGUGACCGCUGAUUCGCAUCGAGUUCUUUCUUGCAAAACGCAUGACCCCCCUUUUUUAUUGUCUAAAUCAUUGCGACUUGGAAUGCUCUUUAAGAAAAGGUAUGGUUAUGGGGGUCUCUAUGCGCAAAAGUUUGACUUUAUUUUUUGUUGAAGUUAUUGCUUUUACAUUGAAUUUGUGUAGGAAAUCUUUUGGUAUAUUGUAACCUAAACUAGCUUUAGGUAAAAAUGAAAUAUCAUCUGCAAGUGCAAAAUAUGACUGGGAAAGCUGAUUUUUGGUCAUUUCUUAACAAAAGAGAAGAAAAUAAGUGCCUUAAAUGCAUGAAUUCAGAUAAUUUGACCUGGAAUAGUUGUUUUUCAAGUUGACCCCCACCCUGAUAUAGCCAAAUAAGGGCUAAAUUGCUUUCCGACUUGAAUUCAAAGGCAUAUUGUUUGACCGUGUAGCGUUAGUGUGCUACAUGAAGUCAGAAUUCAACGCCAGGAACUCCGUGAUCCAGUAACGCAACAAUAGCUAGUGCAUAAAGCAUGAACAUUCAAACAGAGCCCCAUUUCACCGACAUGGAAUGGCGGACAUUUUUACAGUUUGGACAGUGCAGCAGACACUUAAUUGAGGCAGCCUUCAUAUUUAGUGCAAUCAUGAACAUAACAAGGUUUAUUACUUCAUAUUAUUCAUAAAAAUACACUAAAAAUACUUAAGUGCAUGUUUUUUGCCAUUUUAUAUCUAUUUUUUAUUGGGAAUUUUGACUUUUUCAGGUAGAGGAAUGUCUGCAACUAAGCCGAGGGCCACUGGAUAAGGGUUGUUGAUGGUAAAACAGGUAGAGGAAUGUCUGCAACUAAGCCGAGGGCCACUGGAUAAGGGUUGUUGAUGGUAAAACAGGUAGAGGAAUGUCUGCAACUAAGCCGAGGGCCACUGGAUAAGGGUUGUUGAUGGUAAAACAGGUAGAGGAAUGUCUGCAACUAAGCCGAGGGCCACUGGAUAAGGGUUGUUGAUGGUAAAACAGGUAGAGGAAUGUCUGCAACUAAGCCGAGGGCCACUGGAUAAGGGUUGUUGAUGGUAAAACAGGUAAUAAUACUAAAUUAUUAUCAUGUACGCAAGCAAAUAAGCAUAUUUAUGAUGCUUAAGGUGUGAAAUACUGUCAUAAUCAGGUUUGUGGUCACUCAAACCCUUGCCGCCUUGCAAUUCCCCGUGCAGUUUGUAUGGAUAGUUCCGCGUCCUGACACGUAAAGCUCGCGCUUUGUUGGCAGCAGAAGUUGGCACUUAACAGGUUUAUCCUUGUUCCUAAGCAUGUAUGCAGUGCAUCUGAGUUGAUAUGCUACUUGUAACCCUACAAUCAGCUUGUGUUUGGUAUUGUUUUCUCACAAUAUGCUUACAGUCAUGGUCCCGGCUUGAAAGGAUGUGGCGUCCGACUUAAACAUAGGAUUGUUGUAGCAAGUGUCCCCUUCAUCAUUUACCUUAGAGGGAUCUUUUUGCCAAAAUGUGGCACUUUCAGCAACCAGUUUAGUUUUUCAUUUGGUACAUGCUUCUCUCAUUCAGUGAUUUAUGGGAAGUAUUGACCUUAUUUGCUUGUCUUUGCAUACAAAGGUGACAUGGAUCAAUGAUAUGUGUUGUGUUGAGAAUUCUGCGGGAAGCUGUGUCCCCAGAAGAUGUACUAGAAACCUCUUUCAGGAAGCCUGCAUUGAUCUGAGCUGCCUUUCUGCCCCUGUUACUUCAUAGAACUUCAUUUCUAAGCUUAUAAUGCUCUCCAACAUAUAUGUAUCUUGUUCAUUUUAACCUUUCCUUCUAGUUUAAACCCCCAAAAUGAGCAUUUUUGUCUUUCGCUCAGUUAUUAACGCCCAUUUUGACCAGAUUGCCACCAUAAAAAUAGUCAAAAGUACUUGUUUUGCGCCCAAAAUAUGAAAUUUUGUAUUCUCUUGAACCUCUGAAUGACAGCUGGCAGAGCAUAUUGACCAUCUGCUGCAGUUUAAAGGCACCCAUGGCAUUAUAUGCUAGAAUAUACCAUUUGCGACUGGUAAAUAAAUGGGCUCCGAGCAACAAGGCGCUUUCAAGAUUUCACACUUUUAUAAGUGUGAAACAACAAGUUAUAGGAAGCUUAUUGAUUUCUACACUUCAAAGUAUCUUUGAUCUCUCAUUUUUGCUUAUUUGUUGUUUGUCUUGGAUGAAAUUGGAUAUUUUUGCUGGGAAAUUGACAUUUUUGGGGGUAUUUAAA